AUUGAACGCUGGCGGCAGGCUUAACACAUGCAAGUCGAGCGGAGAUGAGGUGCUUGCACCUUAUCUUAGCGGCGGACGGGUGAGUAAUGCUUAGGAAUCUGCCUAUUAGUGGGGGACAACAUUCCGAAAGGAAUGCUAAUACCGCAUACGUCCUACGGGAGAAAGCAGGGGAUCUUCGGACCUUGCGCUAAUAGAUGAGCCUAAGUCGGAUUAGCUAGUUGGUGGGGUAAAGGCCUACCAAGGCGACGAUCUGUAGCGGGUCUGAGAGGAUGAUCCGCCACACUGGGACUGGGACACGGCCCAGACUCCUACGGGAGGCAGCAGUGGGGAAUAUUGGACAAUGGGGGGAACCCUGAUCCAGCCAUGCCGCGUGUGUGAAGAAGGCCUUAUGGUUGUAAGGCACUUUAAGCGAGGAGGAGGCUACUGAGACUAAUACUCUUGGAUAGUGGACGUUACUCGCAGAAUAAGCACCGGCUAACUCUGUGCCAGCCGCCGCAGUAAGAC
rnacentral:rRNA from 1 species